AUUGAACGCUGGCGGCAUGCCUUACACAUGCAAGUCGAACGGUAACGGGCCUUCGGGUGCCGACGAGUGGCGAACGGGUGAGUAAUGCAUCGGAACGUACCUUUCCGUGGGGGAUAACGUAGCGAAAGUUACGCUAAUACCGCAUAUUCUGUGAGCAGGAAAGCAGGGGAUCGCAAGACCUUGCGCUGAUUGAGCGGCCGAUGUCAGAUUAGCUAGUUGGUGAGGUAAAGGCUCACCAAGGCGACGAUCUGUAGCGGGUCUGAGAGGAUGAUCCGCCACACUGGAACUGAGACACGGUCCAGACUCCUACGGGAGGCAGCAGUGGGGAAUAUUGGACAAUGGGCGAAAGCCUGAUCCAGCCAUGCCGCGUGUGUGAAGAAGGUCUUCGGAUUGUAAAGCACUUUAAGUCGGGAGGAAGGGCUGUAGGCUAAUACCUUGCAGUUUUGACGUUACCGACAGAAUAAGCACCGGCUAACUUCGUGCCAGCCGCCGCGGUAAAAC
rnacentral:rRNA from 1 species